AAAAACAGGAAGUGACUUCUGUUUGUCAUCUUCAAACGACGUGGAUGCAUGUGACGGCGUACCUUUCCGAAGCUUCCUUUCCCGAGCAUCUUGUGCAGGACAAAGUCAUCGACAGUGAAUUUGGCUUGGUGAUCUUUCCUCGGGACGGCGUACAGAGGCUCCUCCUCCUCCUGCUCCUCCAUCAGCGCCUCAUUGUCAGACCUGCUGACGUCUGUUGGCCCCUCCCAUGAAACGCCCUGCAGCUCUGAACAUGAGGUAAACUCGUCAAUAAUCCUGACGGAGCUCGAACGACUCCUGCCUGGCCGACACCCACUGGACCUUCUCGACCAAUGAUGUCAGAGUCUUUGGUGCUUCGGGCCUGAAGGUUGAGACAGGUCUGAGUGGAGAGGUCAGAGGGUAAACGUUGGCCUCACACCAGCCGACAGGAAAGAUGUUCAUGGACGUCGAGUCUACGAUGAAUUCAGACUUUGUUGAACCUGCAGAGAGAGAGAGGACAGUGCCACAAUGACGAGGAAAGCUUCACCAGACCUGGACCUGGAGCUGGACCUGACUUGAAUGAAACAUGAAAACAUGAACAUCAC